rnacentral:rRNA from 1 species
GUAGGGAGCAAGCGUUGUUCGGGAAUUAUUGGGCGUAAAGAGCGCGUAGGCGGCCAGGUAAGUCUGAUGUGAAAUCCCACAGCUCAACUGUGGAACUGCAUUGGAAACUGCUUGGCUAGAGUGCGGGAGAGGAGAGUGGAAUUCCCAGUGUAGAGGUGAAAUUCGUAGAUAUUGGGAGGAACACCAGUGGCGAAGGCGGCUCUCUGGACCGCAACUGACGCUGAGGCGCGAAAGCUAGGGGAGCGAACGGGAUUAGAUACCCCGGUAGUCCUAGCCGUAAACGAUGGGCACUAGGUGUGGGAGGUAUCGACCCCUUCUGUGCCGUAGCUAACGCAUUAAGUGCCCCGCCUGGGGAGUACGGUCGCAAGACUA